CUCAGGGGCAACAAGUCACAUGACAAGUGAUGAAACGUUUUUCACAGAAAUUGAUUACAGUGCAAAAGACAAAGUCUUCCUAGCAAAUGGGGAAAGUAUUACAGCGGAAGGUAACGGUCAAGGAUUUCUGAAUUGCAUCACACCGUCAGGGGGUAAGCAAAGUAUCCUUAUAAAGAAUGUUCUGUAUGUUCCAUGUCUAGAAGGAAGCCUCCUACCAGUAAAAACCCUUGCUAAAAAUGGACUCACAGUUAAGUUCUGAUGCAAUGAAUGCACAAUUCGAAAUAGAAAACAAAUCCUAGCAAAAGGAAGGUUGAAUGAACACCUGUAAAAAC